rnacentral:rRNA from 1 species
UGAGGAAUAUUGGUCAAUGGGCGUAAGCCUGAACCAGCCAAGUAGCGUGAAGGAUGACGGCCCUACGGGUUGUAAACUUCUUUUGCACGGGGAUAAAGUGGACCACGUGUGGUUUAUUGCAGGUACCGUGUGAAUAAGCAUCGGCUAACUCCGUGCCAGCAGCCGCGGUAAUACGGAGGAUGCAGGCGUUAUCCGGAUUCAUUGGGCUUGAAGGGAGCGCAGACGGGGCGUCAAGUCGGUCGUGAAAGUCCGGGGCUCAACCUUGGAAUUGCGGUCGAAACUGUUGCUCUUGAGUGGGGUCAAGGCGCGCGGAAUUCGUGGUGUAGCGGUGAAAUGCAUAGAUAUCACGAAGAACUCCGAUUGCGAAGGCAGCGCGCCGGUCCCUUACUGACGUUGAGGCUCGAAGGUGCGGGUAUCGAACAGG